GUGAGGAAUUUUCCGCAAUGGGCGAAAGCCUGAUCCAGCCAUGCCGCGUGAGUGAUGAAGGCCUUAGGGUUGUAAAGCUCUUUUGUCCGGGAAGAUAAUGACUGUACCGGAAGAAUAAGCCCCGGCUAACUUCGUGCCAGCAGCCGCGGUAAUACGAAGGGGGCUAGCGUUGCUCGGAAUCACUGGGCGUAAAGGGCGCGUAGGCGGACUUUUAAGUCGGAGGUGAAAGCCCAUGGCUCAACCCUGGAAUUGCCUUCGAUACUGGGAGUCUUGAGUUCGGAAGAGGUUGGUGGAACUGCGAGUGUAGAGGUGAAAUUCGUAGAUAUUCGCAAGAACACCGGUGGCGAAGGCGGCCAACUGGUCCGAAACUGACGCUGAGGCGCGAAAGCGUGGGGAGCAAACAGGAUUAGAUACCCUGGUAGUCC
rnacentral:rRNA from 1 species